AACUGUUUUAAAAAUGUGUUGCAAAGUUUUUGGAUUAUUUUGAUGGGGAAUGUUUGUAAUGUUUUUAAUUUGAUUCAGAUGUAGUUUAAAUAUAUUUCAGGUCGUUCUGUGUGAUUCUCUCUCUGUGUGCUGAUGUGCAUGAGAGGCUUCUUAAAGGGAAGUGAAACAAUGUGUGAGUGAGUGACCGGUGGAGCAGAAAGAAACAUCUGACAGAAACUCCUAAAAAAAGAAAAUCAACUCUCAGACAUUAAAGGUGUCCUAUAGGGUGUGGUGUUUGAUUGACAGCUGUGUGCUCCCUGUCCUCUAAUCUGAUUGGUGUCUCCUAUAGGUGAUGUGCGUCCCACCCUGACGGUGCUGCCCCCCUCCAAUGAGGAGCUGGAGCAGGGGAAGGCCACGCUCAUGUGUCUGGCCAACAAGGGCUUCCCCUCAGGCUGGAGUCUGGCCUGGAACGUGGACGGCAGCAGCAGCAGCAGCAGCAGCAGCUGGGAGGAGAGCAGGAGCCCUGCGGUGCUGGAAAGGGACGCUCUCUACAGCUGGAGCAGCACCCUGAGGCUCUCUGCAGACCAGUGGAGGAAGGUGGGCUCUGUGACCUGUGAAGCCACCCAGGGCGCCCAGGCUCGAGUCACAGAAAGUCUGAGUAGAGACCAGUGUUCCCAGUAAUGACUCACUGGGACUCUGCUGCUGGUUUUACUGUGAUACUGCUCUCACUCUGCACCUCUCUCUCUCUUUAUUUCAUGUUUCUAAAGAAUAAAUAUUAGCUUGUUGCUUCA